ACCAACAGGGAUUGCCUUAGUAACGGCGAGUGAAGCGGCAACAGCUCAAAUUUGAAAUCUGGCCCUUUUAGGGUCCGAGUUGUAAUUUGCAGAGGGCGCUUUGGCUUUGGCAGCGGUCCAAGUUCCUUGGAACAGGACGUCACAGAGGGUGAGAAUCCCGUACGUGGUCGCUAGCUAUUGCCGUGUAAAGCCCCUUCGACGAGUCGAGUUGUUUGGGAAUGCAGCUCUAAAUGGGAGGUAAAUUUCUUCUAAAGCUAAAUAUUGGCCAGAGACCGAUAGCGCACAAGUAGAGUGAUCGAAAGAUGAAAAGCACUUUGGAAAGAGAGUCAAACAGCACGUGAAAUUGUUGAAAGGGAAGCGCUUGCAGCCAGACUUGCUUGCAGUUGCUCAUCCGGGCUUUUGCCCGGUGCACUCUUCUGCAGGCAGGCCAGCAUCAGUUUGGGCGGUGGGAUAAAGGUCUCUGACACGUUCCUUCCUUCGGGUUGGCCAUAUAGGGGAGACGUCAUACCACCAGCCUGGACUGAGGUCCGCGCAUCUGCUAGGAUGCUGGCGUAAUGGCUGUAAGCGGCCCGUCUUGAAACACGGACCAAGGAGUCUAACAUCUAUGCGAGUGUUUGGGUGUCAAGCCCGAGCGCGUAAUGAAAGUGAACGGAGGUGGGAACCCGCAAGGGCGCACCAUCGACCGAUCCUGAAGUUUACGGAAGGAUUUGAGUAAGAGCAUGGCUGUUGGGACCCGAAAGAUGGUGAACUAUGCUUGAAUAGGGUGAAGCCAGAGGAAACUCUGGUGGAGGCUCGCAGCGGUUCUGACGUGCAAAUCGAUCGUCAAAUUUGGGCAUAGGGGCGAAAGACUAAUCGAACUAUCUAGUAGCUGGUUCCUGCCGA
rnacentral:rRNA from 1 species